UCCAAGGCGACAGUCGGGUUCAUUUUGGGCUAAACUGGGAGGGGGAGAGGAAAGCACAGCCCAUGCUCAUCUGAGGAGGAGUCUCCCCACUUCUCCACUGUGGCUCCGCCCGGGUGGGAAGGAGAGAGCCUUUGGCACAGGGGUGUGCGUGUGAAGUCGGGUCUCAUCCAGGUGCCUGCGCUUCUUCCAAGAUCCUAAUGAAAACUCCCAAGCGCAGGAAAACGAGGACCACGUGUCCACGGCCUGUUGACGGGAGCGGGGGACGCGGGCGUCUGGGCUUGGCCGCCAGGCACAGCUGCGUGGGCAGCGGCGCUCGCUAGCCCGGCCUGCCCCGUCCUGCGGCUUCUUUACACACGGUGGGUUCCAGUCUCUUCAAGUCAGGACUCUCCUCUUCCUGAGAGUCUGAUUCGAGUUCUGGGCCCUCACUUCUGAAACGUGCGGCGGACACUCACCUGCUGGAGCCCCGGGUCAAUCGGGUGCCGAGGUGGACCUCGAGCGUGCAGCCUUUGGGUGCUCGCCGGCUGGACUCGAACUCCGUGCUCUGACAUGAUGAAAUGGAGUGAGCUGCGAGGCGGCCUAUGAUCACAGCCAACCGUGAGAAUGCUGAUGUCUUCGUGCACUGCAUUCGCCACUUACAAACUCGGCCCUAGGGCCGGGGUUUAGUUCAGUGGUGCCGCCGCCUGCCCUGCAAGUGCAAGGACCGAGUUCGAUCUCCGGUACCAAAAAGAAAAAAAUAUCAUCACUGAGACUGCUGGGUGAUAUUGCGGCAGACAAUCCCUUUUGUGGGGACCACUCUGAAAUAUGGCCCUUCUGUUGCUUAAUCUAAAAUACCUUUUUUAUUCUUGUUUUGGUCGAGUGGUGUAUUUUGAAAAGUCCUGCAUGCCUAUUCUUUGCAGGGCAGGAAUUUUGGGUUGCAGGCUACAUAGAGGGCCCUUUGCAUUAUGUGACCUGAAACCACAUUUCUCCCCAAGUACUCUUUGGAACUUUCUCCUAAAAAUAACUCCAGAAAAAGGUCUUGUCAAAAGCCAUUAAAU
rnacentral:lncRNA from 1 species